CGGCGGACGGGUGAGUAAUGUAUGGGAAACUGCCCGAUGGAGGGGGAUAACUACUGGAAACGGUAGCUAAUACCGCAUAACGUCGCAAGACCAAAGAGGGGGACCUUCGGGCCUCUUGCCAUCGGAUGUGCCCAGAUGGGAUUAGCUAGUAGGUGGGGUAACGGCUCACCUAGGCGACGAUCCCUAGCUGGUCUGAGAGGAUGACCAGCCACACUGGAACUGAGACACGGUCCAG
rnacentral:rRNA from 1 species